rnacentral:rRNA from 1 species
AUUGAAAGCUGGCUGCAUGCCUUACGCAUGCCCGUCAAACGGAAACGGGCCCAUCUCGAUGCCGACAAGUGGCGAACGGGAUGAGUAAUAUAUCUUAACGUGCCCAGAAUUGGGGGAUAACUGCUCGAAAGAGCUCCUAAUACCGCAUACUACCUGACGGGGAAAGGGGGGGAUCGCAAGACCUCUCGCUAUUGAAGCGGUCCACAUCUUAUUACCUAUUUGGAGGGGUAAAGGCCUACCAAGGCCACAAUCUGUGAUUGGUCUGAAAGGACGACCAUGCACUCUGGGACUGACACACGGCCCAAACUCCUACCGCAGGCUGACGAGGGCAAUUUUGGACCAGGCGCCCAAGCCUGAUCCAACCUUGCCACGUGCAGGAAUAACGCCUUCAUGUUGUAAACUGCUUUUGUCCUGCAAGAUACCUUCUGGGCUAAUACCCCCGGAAGAUGACGGGACCUGAACAAUAAACUCCGGCUAACUACAUGCCUGCAGCCGCGCUAAUACGUAGGAUGGGAGCGUGCAUCAGAAUCACUGGUCAUUCAGCGAGCGCAUGCGGCUUUGAAAGAUCGAUGUGAAAUCCCCGGACUCACCCUGUAACCUGCCUUUGUGACUGCACGCGUCUACUACGGCCAGGGCGAUGGAAUUCCGCAUGUACCACUUAACCGCCUAGAUAUCCUCCAUGAACACCAAUGGUUAACGCAAUCCCCUGGGCCUGUACUGACCCUCAUGCACGAAAGCGGGGGGAGCAAACAGGAUUAAAUACCCUGGUAGUCCACGCCCUAAACGAUGAUCGCUGGUUGUUGGACCGCUUGCUGUAUCCUAACGAAAACUCAUCGCGUGAAGUUGACCGCCUGGGGAGAACCGACGCCAGGGUGAAACCCCAAAGAAUUGGCGGGGACCCGCACAACCGGUGGACGAUGUGGUUUAAUUCGAUGCAGACGCGAAAAACCUGACAACCCCUUGCCAUCUCAAGAAUUCUGCAGAGAAGGGAAGUGCUCGAAAGAGAACUUGACCACAGGUGGCGCACGGCAGUAGUCAGCUCGGGUCGUCAGAUGCAGGGUUAAGUCUCGCAACGAGAGCUACCCUAGUCAUUAUUUGCUACGCGAGACCACUCUUAUGAGACUACCGGAGACAAACCGGAGGAAGGUGGGGAUGGAGCCAGGUCCUCAUGGCCAUUAUGGGCAGGGGUCCACCCGUCAUACAAUGGCCGGUACAGAGGGCUCCCAACCCGUGAGGGGGAGCCAAUCCCAGAAAACCGGUGGUAGUCCGGAUCGUAGUAUUCAACUAGGAAGCGCGAAGUCGGAAUCUCUAGUAAUCGCGGAUCAGCUUGCGGCGGAGAACACGUUCCCGGCUUG